GUGCGGGGGAGUUUUGCGUUCCCCUCGGCACCGCGCCUCUCUUUUCCUUUAUUGUGUUUUUCCUUUCUUUUCCCUCUUUUCCCUUUACGUUUCCUGUCCUUCGCGCCUGCCCCGCUCGGCGCGCCCUCGCCAGCGCCCUCUCGGGAAGCCCCGGUCGCACGGGCACCCCCCGAGGGCGGCCGCCCCCGGCGCUGGCAGAGGCCGGCUGGCCUUUCUGUUCCGUCACUCUGAAAUGCGCCCUGCAUUGCUGCAGAAUCUUUUGGUUUUUUAAAGGGAAUACAGACUUCUGAGUGUGGCCCGUACACGACAAAGGUACCCUGCAGCGUGUGGUCUUCUGCCCUAAAAGCAGCGUUCAGAGAGACUGAUUCCCAAAACACCGGCUGACUUCAACACAAUCUCGUAGCAUCAGGUGUCCGAUGCUUUUAGAUACCCAUAAAAAUGGAAGUGCCGGUUAAGGAAGCUGUUCAGUCCUGGUGCUGUGUCUGUGAGAUGGUUCACGUAAGCAUGAGAACAGGAGAUCAGCGAAGAACGCCACCGUGCUGCUUAUAAUAGCAUCAGCUGAGCCUCUGUUCUUACCUCUCUGUUAGGCCGUGUCUUCUCUGAGGCCCAGAGGACUGAUAUGUAUUUGUACAAAAGAGAACAGAGGUUUGCCACUCUUUCUGGUAUUUUUUGUAUAAGAGAAGAUGUUUACUCAAACCCUUAGUCUGAUUCUAGUUCUGUUCAUUGCAUUCUGCCUUUCUAGUCCCUUUUACUAUUUCUAUGGCAUGUAGUCUGCGUGGGUGUUUGGGUUUUUGUUUUGUUUUUGGCUUGUUUUUUUGUAUAAUUACUUGAAGCUUGCUGAGGUCAAGUUGUUGCAUUCUCUGACUUUGGCCCUGCAGGCUGUGCCUCACUGGCUGCUGUACUUCCCCCGGUACUAUUUUCCAGUCAUAAAGCUGAAAACAUGCAAAUCAUAAGAAGUCAUUUCUGGAUCUAAAUUUAGCACUACUGUGGAUUAGCACUAAGACUGGACCAAUUAUAUGUUCAGUCUUUCCUAAAUAGAAAAGAAAAUGUCUCAUUACAAAUGGGUAAAAGGAUGUGUACGUAUCUGUUAUAGUGACACUAAAAAGAAUACGAAUUUAGGCAUCGAGCAGUUGAUUGUAAUUCCGCCUCUACCUGCAGACAUUUGGAAAUGUUAGUUUUUAAAGGGAAGAUACUCAGUAACAGCGGGUGAGAAUCAGAACAGCGGGUUCCCUGAGGAUCCUGGGAUGGCUGUCCUGCUCAUGUAAGAUCUGCUUUAUCCCUUCUGCAAAGACAAGCUGAAAGGAGACCUGUAAAUAUAGUCUGCAUUUUGAAGGACAGGACAUUCUCAUAUUCCUUAUGUCUUUAGUCAAUACAGAAAGCAAACAGCUUAGCAAAAAGCAGUAUAUUUUUAACAAUGACAUUUCCUUAGCAGAUCCGAGCUGGGUUACACCAUCUCAGGUAAAGAGAUCUGAUUAAUCUUGUUUGAGGAUAACUAGGUAUUGCAGAACCCUGGCUCCAUGUUCUGUUCAAAUUGCAGUCUAUUCCCCCCACCCCCCGCAAAGGCCGUAUUUGUUAAACCGAGUGUGCAGAGGGACAUUAAA